GAUGAACGCUGGCGGCGUGCCUAACACAUGCAAGUCGAGCGCGAUUAAUUGGACUGGAGGCUUCGGCCAAUGGGAAGAUUAUGAAAGCGGCGGACGGGUGAGUAACGCGUGAGCAACCUGCCCUGUACAGGGGGAUAGCCACUGGAAACGGUGAUUAAUACCCCAUAACCCCAAAGGACCGCAUGGUCCAAUGGGGCAAAGUACCAACGGUACAGGAUGGGCUCGCGUCUGAUUAGCUAGUUGGUGAGGUAACGGCUCACCAAGGCGACGAUCAGUAGCCGACCUGAGAGGGUGAACGGCCACACUGGAACUGAGACACGGUCCAGACACCUACGGGUGGCUG
rnacentral:rRNA from 1 species